rnacentral:rRNA from 1 species
ACGGCGUACCUUUUGCAUAAUGGGUCAGCAAGUUAAUAGGAGUAGCAAGGUAAGUAACCUUAGCGAAAGCGACUAUGCAUACAAUUCCAACCUACUAAUAUAGGAAAAGAAAAAUGUAUUGGGUAAGUUACUUCUAUUAGACCCGAAGCCAGGUGAUCUUACCAAGACCAGAUUAUAAUGGAUCGAACGGUUGAAUGUUGCAUAAUUCUCCGAAGAGUUUUGGUAAGCGGUGAAAUGCCAAUCUGACCUGGUGCUAGCUGGUUUUCUACCGAAACAUAUUUAAGUAUGAUGUCUAUAUAUUAGAUUUAUGAAGGUACAGCAAGGCAAUUCCCAACAAGUAUUCUGAAAUUCAUACGAAUUUCAGAAUAUGCGUUUAGGUUGCGGGGACCUCGAAAAUCUUACCUUUGGAAGCGAAUCUCGGAAUUACAUAAAUUGAAGAUAGAUAUUCAGACUGCUCAUGCUAAGUUGGGCAGUCAAGACGGAAACAGCCGAGAACACUGAUCAAGGUCCCAAAUGAUUGUUAAGUGAAAUUAAGGACGUAGCAAUAUCGUAUACAGCUGUGAAGUGAGCCUAAAUUAUAAAAAGACUGCUGGGCUCCAAAUCAAAAAACUGGGCUAUAUGCAAGAAACCCCUAAAGCUUUAAGUACUAGUUUAAAGGAACAGUGAAAAUCUUAAAGAUAUAACAAUGGGCAAUUUGCAGGAAACCAAAUAAUUUAUUAACGUAAAACUUAAUACUUUAAAGUAGGAUCCUCAACGACUAUACGCCUAGAGUAGUUUAUAUGUUCAAUUUACCAGAUAAAAAGAGCAAAGUAAAUUAUUGUGACAUAGUCUAACCCGCUGUUAAAGCAGCGGUAUUAGGUCAAGAAAGAAAUGGCCUUCCCACCUAAAACCCUAAUUCUAGGGGAGCUAUUUAUAUCUAAACAAAUAGCAAACCUCUUACCCCGCUAAAGCGGGAUAGGGAAAAAUUAAUUUUGUAUCUCUUUUGGUUUAAUUGCCUUAGUUAGAUAGGAGUUGGUUCGCCUGUCACUUUAAAGGCUAGUCCCCUAACUAAAGUUAAAAUAACUAAGAAAUUAAAACCUACAAAAUUAACCAAAAAAAUAUAACAAAUAAACAAACUACAAAAACAAAUAUAAUAAUGAACCAAAAUUCUCCGUUAACAUGUCCCUAUAGCACUAAUUUUAUUAUGUCUCCAGGGUAUAUUAGUGGUUUAACUCAAACGGACGGUUCUUUUUUCUGUUCUAUUAUAAUUUCUCCCAAACAUCGGUUUGGUAUACAAUUUAGACCUAAAUACACUAUUACAGCUGACUUAGAUUCUAAAUAUGUACUGGAGAAAAUACAAGCAUAUUUUAAUUGUGGGUUAGUCACAGUUAAUAAUAAAAAGCAUACUGCUGAGUUUGUAGUAAAUAAAUUGGAAGAUCUAAUUAAUAUUAUAAUUCCUCAUUUUAACACUUAUUCUGUUUAUACUGGAAAAUUGCAUGCCUUUAUCCUAUUUAAAAAGAUAGUUCAUGCUUUGUAUCACAAAGAAAAAAGAACGUUAGAAGAAAGAAGGGAACUAUUAAACAUAGCACUAUCAAUGAAUAAAACUAAUAAUAGAACAGUAGAAAGAAUUGAAACUUUAUAUUCUUUAUUGGGAAUCACCGCUAAUCAAAAUAAAGUUACAGAAUAUCAUAACUCUGAAUUAAUAGAAAUCACGGAUACUCUAUCAAAUGAAUUUAUUUCAGGUGUAAUAGAUGGUGACGGUAGUUUUUUUAUUUCUUUCCAAUUAGACGGAAAUAUUAAAACUGGUUUUAAUAUUACUAAUGAGCCAGAUUCUAGACCUUUAUUAGAAAAAAUAAAAGCUCAAUUAAAAAAUAUUGGUUCAAUACAAGAAGGAUCUAAAAAUGAAUUAGUAUAUACCGUCAAUGGUAUAAAUCAAAUUAAUGAUGUUUUAAUACCCUUUAUGGAUAAGAGCCCUAUAUUUUCAGAAAGAGCUGAACACUAUUCUAAGUUUAAGACUGUAAGUAUUUUGUUAAAGGAAGAAAAACCUUUAACUUUGCCUACUAAAUUAAAAAUAGUAGAAUUAGCAUAUGAUAUGAAUAAAAAAGGAAAAAGAAGAAGUUUAAGUAAAUCGCAAUAUAUUGAUAGAUUGACGGAUUCGACAUAAUUAACCCCCCACAACUCGCUAUAGCGAGGUAAUAAUAUGGGAUUAUUAUACAGUUUUUGGCCUCCUAAUUUUAUUAGUACUUAUUAGCAAUAUUAAGAGGUGUUUGGUUAUAUCUUUUUGAAGAUAAGUAGCAAAGGGAUACUUGGGCAGUCGCUACUUAUAAUGAUCGUACGUAACAACGCAUCAGCAGUAACUUUAAUUUAAAAAAAUUUAAAUUAAUAAAUGAUAGUAGCGCCGAAAAUUUAACGGGUCUUAAACAAUCAACCGAUAUCGUGUUGGUUUUUGUUAUUAAAUACCCUGCCUAUUGGGCAGAACCCCUGGUUUGCAGGGGCUAAUUGAGGUAUAGAAAAAUAUAGUAGCAAAAAUCUAGGUAGUAGAACAUUCAGUAAAACUGUUUAUUAAAUAGUGUUUCAUUAUUUACUAGGUUACUGAAGAGAGAAUGCUGACAUGAGUAACGUAAAAAAUUCCUAUAAUGGAAUUCGCCGAAUACGAAAGGGUUGCAAAUAGGAAAGGUUAAACCGUUUUGUUUUAAUGCGGCCUCUAAGGACUAUAGCCAAAGCUAUAGCUGAUGAGUUUAAGAUAGAAAGUCCAAUAAUUAAAAAAUGGACCAGGAAAAUAAUAUCCUUAUUUUACUUAUUCAUUCUAUUAUCAGCAUUAUAGCUGGAAUAGAGGCCUAAUCUUUAAAAUAUUACUCGCUGAGGUUUUACUUUUGAGAGUAUGUUUUAAGCGUAAAUUUAGGCAUUGCAACUUUACCACCCGCUUUAGCGGGUUCUUCGAAGAGCUUUCCUUGCUAUAAGCUAAUCACUUAUAGCAGGGGCCAGUAAAAUGGUAGCUCUUCGAGGAAAGUUCAAGUGAAAGCUUUUUUUAAUUAAAAAAUUGUUGAAAGAAGUAAAAGAUUUAUAAGGCUAAUUGUAGGAUGUGCUUAAUGACGCUGCAAUUUUGUACAUAAUACUUAAAUAUGGCUCUAAUCCCCUAUAAGUUAGAUGGGAAAUCUAAUAAAUUAGAAUUAUAAAUUUUAAGUUAAUAAGAAAGCUACCGUACCCUAAACCGACACAGGUUCGUAGGUAGAGUAUACUAAGGCGUAGAGCUAAAAGUUGUUAAGGAACUCGGCAAAUUCACCUCAUAAAUUAGAUGACAAGAGGUACCGAUAAAAACUUAUUUAUCUAAGCAAUUUACGGUUGUUAUUAUAUUAUACCUUGUCAGAUUAUAUUCUUCGAGGGUAAAGAUAAUAUAAUACCUUUCCAUAUUUCCUCUUCGGAGGAAAAGUGGUGGGGAUAAUUAGAUAUUAAUUAUAAUAUUCGGUGGCACAGAAUCGGAGGCCCCGACUGUUUACUAAAAACACAUCACAGUGCAAUCAUUAAUAUGGUAGUAUACUGUGUGAAAUUUGCCCGAUGCCAUUAAUAUAAAAAAAGUUAUGGUAUAUUUUUUAUGCUGUGACUGAUUGAAAAUCUGGUUAAUAGCGGUCUUAACUAUGAGGAUCCUAAGGUAGCAAAAUCAGUUGGCCAUUAAAUGUGGUCCGGUAUCAAUAAUGUAACGAUGGUCUCACUGUCUCUACAACUUGCUCAGUGAAAUUGAAUUACGCGUGCAGAUGCGCGUUGCCUCCAGGGGGACGGGAAGACCCUAUGCAGCUUUACUGUAGUUAGUUACCAUAUGAAUCUACAACAAUCUUAUUUAAUAGUGAAUAGGUAAGUCAAGUGACUAAAUGUGGAAACCUUAAAAAUAGAUUGGGUUCGUGUUUACCUUAAAAAAAAGGGAUAGAUGACUAAUGGGCAGUUUGACUGGGGCGGUCGUCUUUAAUAGAGUAGCAAAGUACAUCCAAAUAUAUAUAUAAAAAAAAGUACCUAAAUUAACCAAAAAACUUUGUUUUUAGGCUUAGGCGACAAAUACAAAUAAAGUCUUAUUUUGUAUAUUACUCUAGAAAAACUAGCUAUUCUAAGUGAUUAGGUAGACGUAAAUUUUAGAAAUUUUAUUUUUUUUUAAUAAUUCUAGUCCAAUUAUAGUAAAAAAAUAGAUAACUUUAAUUAAUUCUAGAAUGUAAAUUAUACAAUAAGAUUUUUCCAGUGUUAUCGGUUAUGCAAGAUUUUGCAAAUAUCUGAUGGCUCAAUUAACAUUUUCCAUAUUAAUAUACAAAUUAUAAGGUAUAGCUAGAAAUUGAAUGGAGAUCAAUCAACCAGUGAAGGGUUGCGCAGGGCUCAAUGGCGGAAAGCAUACUUAACUGAAAGACUCAAAAGUCGCACAGAUACGUAAGUAGGGCAUAGUGACCCCUCGCUAUAGUAUGGGAUAGACGGGGAUCAAUUAAUAAAAGUUACGCUAGGGAUAGAAUGUUGUCCCUUUGUUUUGAAAAAAGCAAUAAAUAAAACCGGGUGAAUUGCAAAAACAACUUAAAACAAUAAGUCAAUUUGCAGCGAAGCUUACCUCAGCAAUCUUUAAGUUUAAAGACAAAAGGUAUGAACGUUCAACGACUAGAAAGUGAGUAGCUAACAAUAAUCUUUCCACGAGCGCCCGGCAUCUUAAAAACCAAAACCAAAAAAUACAUUUAAUACCUGAUACAAUAAUGAUAUAAUAAUUUAAAAAAUGAAUUCAGUAAUACCAAUGAGUAAAAAAGAGUUAUUAUCCCAUGGAGUAAUUAGUCCAAAUAGUAACUUACUUAAAAUUUAUAAAGAACAACUUAAUAGUUUGUCUAAUGAACAAUGGGAAGCUUCAAUUGGUUUAAUCUUAGGAGAUGCCAGCCUUAAUACACAAAAUAAAGGUAAAACAUAUAGGAUUAAAUUUGAAUGAAACAAUAAAAAUAAGGCUUAUAUUGAUCAUGUUUUAAACUUAUUCGACGAAUGGAUUAUAUCUGAACCUCAUAAAAAAAUAAGAACUAGCCCUAAUGGCAAGGAAGUAUUUAACUGAGGUUUUCAGACUAUUAGCCACCAAGCAUUUAAUCCUUUAGCUGAACUAUUUAUUAGUAAUAGUAAAAAAACUAUUAGUAAUGGGUUGAUUCUUAACCAUUUAACUAGUAGAGGUUUAGCUUAUUGGUUUAUGGAUGAUGGAGGUAAAUUAGAUUAUAACAAAAAUUCGAAAAAUAAGUCUAUUGUUUUAAAUACACAAAGUUUUACAGACUUAGAAGUUACAAAUUUAGCUGAAGAAUUACAUGAAAAAUUUAAAUUUAAAACUUCUACCUCUUGCCCCUGCGAGGGGGGGGGGGGGCUGCGAGCAAGGGUCGAAAUAACAAAGGUAAAAAAAUAAUAGUAAUAUCGGGAGAUAGUUAUUCACUAUUUAAAGAUAAUAUAAAUGAUUUUUUGGUUUCAGAUAUGAAAAAAAAAAUUACCUUAACCCCUCCCACUCUUGCCUUUGCUGACUAAAAGACAAAAGCAAAGGAGAACAAAAAAAAAAAUAAGGGGUGAGGCUACGAGUUUCCCUCCUCUGUAUAACAUUAUACGUUAUACAGAGGAUGGGUAACCUACAAAUUUUUGUGGUGGAGGUAAAUUUUUAAAUGUCUCGCCAACCUAUGGUAGCUAAAUAUAAAAAGAUGAUGACAUAGUCUGAACCAUUUUGUGAAAAAUGGAUACUUAGAUUAAAUACUAAGUGGUAACAUAAUUUGAACAGGCUGAUAGCCGACGAGAGUACACAUUGUCUCGGCUGUUUGGCACCUCGAUGUCGACUCAUCCUAUCCUCCGGGGGAAGAAGCUUGGAAGGGUUCGGCUGUUCGCCGAUUAAAAGGGUACGUGAGUUGGGUUUAAUACGACGUGAGUCAGUAUGGUCCCUAUCUUCUGGAGGGAUAAUUAGUAAAAGGGGGCAGACCUUCUAGUACGAAAGGAUCAAUAGGCUGUGUUUCUCUAGUGUACCAAUUGUUUUUUAUUUUAACAAACAUUGUUAUAAUAAAUAGGCAUAGUUGGGUAGCCACAAACAUAAUAGAUAAGUGCUGAAUGUCUAUAAAGCAAGAAUCUAACCCCUAGAUACUA